UAGGUACAGAGCAAUGAUUCAGCCUGGAGGUCAGGAGUGGAUAGUGGACCACUAUGACUACCUGUGAAUCCAACAGGGCAGAUCUACGAAACGAGCAGUAAUGCAUGCACUCUGAGCUCCUACACUCAGGGCCGGCUCCAGGCACCAG